rnacentral:sRNA from 1 species
AGCCGGGCCAGCUUGGGGGCCCUGUCCCUGGAGGCUUAUCUGAUCACAGGUGAAGCUGAGACCCGCGUCCCCACUAUGAGGCCGAGCAUGUCGGGACUCCACCUGGUGAAGAGGGGACGGGAACACAAGAAGCUGGACCUGCACAGAGACUUUACCGUGGCUUCUCCCGCUGAGUUUGUCACACGCUUUGGGGGGGAUCGGGUCAUCGAGAAGGUAUAGACGGGUCUCGGCACUCUGGGUGGGGUCCAAUUGGGGUGCAGGGGCCCCUCCUCUCAGCUGGAGGUGGGAGUUUUGGGUUCAGGCUCAUUCUGCCUGCUGCAGAGAGGGGGUGAGGGCCACACUCCUCUGAGUUUUAAUAGUUUAACCCUCAAAUAGAAAUAAUAGUGAAACCUCUUUCGAAGGGCUGUUGUGAGGAUGAAAUGAAAUAAGGCAGGUAAAACACAUUGUACUGUAAAACACUCAAAAAGUGUUAAGGGUGAUCACAAUGACACCAAAGGAAU